CAGGACAGCCUCGCGGUGUGAGAGUAGACAGAGGCCAGGACAGUCUCGCGGUGUGAGAGAGGACAGAGGUCAGGACAGUCUUGCGGUGUGAACUCUGCCCAGGCCUAGGCCGGGACAGAGCGCCCGUGCUUAUCCACAGACGACUCCGGCUGGCAGCAGGUUGCAGGAGUGCGCGUAUUGCUGGGUCUUAAGUCUUUAAUUAGUGGUGAGUUAUCUCAUGCCAAAUACCCCCCUCCCCCUGCAUCUCCACACCGCACUGCCCCCUCACUGCUCCGCUGGGCUAAAGCCCGGUGACAGGGGGAGAUUACUGGCCUUUUUAUAGCCUACCCUGUCCACACCACGGCCGGCCUGUCUCCCUGGCCGAGCCCCUCCUUCCACCUGCUCCGCUCGCCCCGCGGGCCGGCCAUUCGGAUCCCCAUGAGCUGGCCAGGCGAGAGCACAGAACCACAGCGACAGGGGAAGGUGCAGCAGCUGAACAGCAGGAAGAGAAGGAGAGGGGCGAGGCGGAGAGCAGCCAGCAGAGGAAGAGGAGCAGGGAGCCGGUGUCCAGGAGGGGCCGGCAGAGGAAGAGGAGCAGGGUGCCGGUGUCCAGCUGGGUUUGUCUUCUCGUUUGUCAUCAACCUCUCAUUUCUCUUCUGGUGUUUGUCUGUGAAGAGCAGUUUAACUUCAGCAGAAAUCAACAGCCCCACAGUCCUAUUGCCUCGCUGCCUCCUCUUCUCUCUAAUCCUUUUUCCAGCCCCUCCAGGAGCUGUCAUCACGAUUCCUCCCUCCCUCUAUUAAUAGGGCCUGGCUGUCCUCCCUCUCACACCCCACCUGGCAGGACGGAGGAGCGGAGCAGGAGAGAGGGGCAGGGAAGGGGGUGAGCCGGCCUCCCGAAUAGCAGUGUUUUCACUGGCUGUUAGUGCUCUGGAAACACUGUUAUUCGUGCCAACAAAGCUCUUUGAAUUUGAAUUUGUGAGAGGGGGGCAGAAGGAGCACAGAAGGAUUGGGGGGAGUGUAGGUCACCCCACCAAGACUCACAGGGAUUGCCCUGCUGCCCUAGUCAAAUUUGGCACUAUCUCUGCAAGGGCUCUGAUCAGUCAUGUGCUCGUCAGUACAGCUGGUCAGCUGGGAUAGGUGGGCAGGGAGGCAUGCCCCAGAGAGAUGGGCCUGAGGCAGAAGGUUCAGAUUUCACUUCCUCCAAUCACACGUCCAGGCGAAUCGCUCCCUACACGCCCACAUACCUGGUCACCAUGGAAACAGCCUCACCUGAACUCAGACGAGCCUGCAGGGAGCAGAGAUUGGCUGGCAGAGUGUGUCAGUGUGUGUGCAUUUGUGUGUGCACGCCUGUGUAUGUGCCAGUGCAACACAAGUGUCAUAAAACAUCACAGUUCACACUUUUCUUCCACAGGGGGUCCUGACUCUCAUGUCUGGGCAGCAUCGUGCAGCAGAGCUCUGUGAAGGAUCUCCAGGAUAAGGAACAACAUCAGCUGAGCUGGACUGUCUCUGGUCUCUGUACAGCUGCAUGUGAAUCUCACACUUACACAUUUACCCAGGCCUGUUUCCUGGCAGGUAGAGGAACAGCCGCCCAGCCAAUAGCUUGUCUUCCUUCAAGAUCCUCUGAUCAAUUAGCUACUGAAACACCAAAUGAGCUAGGUGUGAAUAAUGCCCUAAUGUCUGUAAGCUUUCUUAUGCUCUCACAUUUUACCCCAAAAUGAGAAAACUGGGCUUUUUAAAAUUCUAUAACAGUCACUCUGCCAGGAAAUAUGCACUGCAGGAGGGAGCACAGAGCCUUUGGCACUCACUGACAGCCUCGUCUCUCCCCGAUAUCUUCAACUCAGAGUUCUGACCUCCAAGACCUGAUCACAGACAGACACAGAGACAGGCACAUUGCUGAGUACGUGCCCCACAGGACACAAUAGUUGACCUCAAACCCCACACAACACCUAGUGGUCACCGGCACUGACCCAAUAAUAAUUUCUUACACUUUUAUAGCGCUUUUCUGGACACUUCACUCAAAGAGCUUUACAGGUAAUAAGACCUCCACCCCACCACCACCAGGGUGAAGUGCCACUACACAGCACUACUAUGACAGCAGCCAUAGUGCGCCUGUCCGCUCCCCACACCAGCUCUCAGUGGGGAGGAGCGCAGAGUGAUGAAGCCAGUUCAGAGACGGGGGUUAUUAGGAGGCCAUGAUGGGUAAAGGCCAGGGGGAAAUUUGGCCAGGAUGCCGGGGUUACACCCCUACUCUUUUCAAGAAACGGCCUGGGAUUUUUGAUGACCACAGAGAGUCAGGACCUCGGUUUUACGUCUCAUCCGAAGGACGGCGCCUGUUUACAGUAUAGUGUCCCCAUCACUAUACUGGGGCAUUAGGAC
rnacentral:lncRNA from 1 species